AUGGAAACAAGAUGGCUUACAUUUGGGGGAUCUGAUUCCUCAUUGGUUCCGGCAAGAAUUGGUGAAGAAGCCAUCAAGCUCCUCCAGCGAGUCCCUUUGUUGGAUCUGUGGAAAAGGAGGGCAGAAGCGGGGGGCCGUUGGAUGAGAGCGGAGCACGGAUGGGAGUAUUCUGGUGGAGCAGGCAAGCCCCGUGGAGCGCGCGCUCCCAAGACUCACCCUGAUGAUGUUCAAAAAAGAAGACCCACCCUGAUGUCCAGAUGGUCGGGCUCCAUGCCACCCCUUAUCCUUACCCCUCCAACAUUGCUUCAAGAUCUAUGUCGCCACCACACCGGCGGUUCCUACGAAGGCGACGAAGGCACGAGGUGGAGGCAAACGGCCGGCGAAUCGCGGCCGGAACCCGGCCGAAAGUGCGGCUCGGCCGACCCAAAUCUUGAAGGCAGCCGCGGCGGCUCGGGCCGCCAACUCGUAGCCACGGCCGACGGCGUCCUUGAGCAGCCAAAAGGAGUCGUUCCUCCACCUGCGUCGCCGUCACUGCUGGCCAUGGAGGAAGAUGUGGCCACGCCGACGGCCACCGCCUCCAAUAUGUUUGAUGAUACGUCGCAAAGUCUUGAUGAUGAAGCUUUUUUGCACGCGACAAAUGUGGCAAAUGAUGAUUAUGUGUUGCACGAGUAUGUGUCACAAGAAUAUGAAACCCAAUAUGGUGAUGAUAAUCUUGACAUGGACGAUGAGGGCUUUGUUGCAAAGGGAAGAAGUGGAAAUUGUACCAGUGUGGAGGAUGUGUUGAUAUGCACCGCAUGGAAGAAAGAUUACUUCGAUGAGCGCAACACAAGUGGUCACUUCCAUUCGAGCGACUCUCUUCGCCAACAUUGGUCCACCAUCAACGCCGAAUGCCAAAAGUGGGUCGGUUGCUUGUCAAAGGUUGCUCGCAUGAACCCAAGUGGUUGCGGUGAUGUGGACAAGUAUACCCUUAUGUGCCUAUUUGGCAUGAACUCAGACGCACGCGAAGAACUCAAUCCCAUCCCUUGCAAGCACGACAGUAGAUGGCGACGCUCCUCUACGAGCAGCGGACAAGGCCGGCGCCAGCUAGCUGAUGGGCAACAACGGGGAGCAGCAGCAAAGACAGCGGCGCCCAGGGCCACAAACAACAGCGGCACGGCAGUACGGGCCGGCAAGAAGCAGCAGCAGCGGAAAAACAGAGCAACGGCAGCGCACGAGCACGCGGGACCGGCGGCGGCAAGCAGCAACACCUGUGUCAUGUCGGACGGCGGGCUGAGAGAGAGAGAGAGAGAGAGAGAGAGAGAGAGACGCCGUCGUCGAGGACCAUGGGGAAUCCCUGGGACGAACCGCCGCCGUCUUCCGUGGAGCACCAGUAGCGAUAGACGGGAGACAGAUGGGGAACGAGGGAGGAGACAAGCUCGUCUCCUGGGUGAAUUGAACUGGCAGGGGCACUCUGGUGAUUUCCACGCGGGUCCCACAUGA
rnacentral:rRNA from 1 species